AAUUCUUCUUUAGUAAUCUCUUUCUACACAAUAAGUCGAAUGAUAGUCGCAUGUCACUAAACCGUAGUCAGGAUUUCCUGCAACUCUCUCAUGACGAAGGAAAUUUGUCUUAAAUUCUUCAUUCCUGAGAUAUGGAAGCUCAAACAUCGCUUACCGCGACAGUUUACACGAGGUCCUGUUGUCCAGAAAGAGCAGUCAGAGUCUUUUAAACUUAAAGGGACACGUUCACGGAAAUAGAAUGCACACGUUACUGUAGAGGAAGUAAACAUUAAAUUGGGCGUGCAACAGAUCAUUAAUUAAUAGUUAUGACACGUGUUUAGACACGCGUAGAGAGUAGAGACAGCAAUCAGUCGCAGAACCGGGAGUAGGCAUCUGUAGAACACUUCUCUCGAACAGAAUUAGCUCUUUUGCCACCCCAAGAUACUCUUUUUAGUGAAGAAACACCAGGAAUAUUUACAAGUAGCCACUCGAGUAGCCAUUUUGCCUUAAUUAAUAGGGGCGCGGCCGCACGUUAUGAAUAGUUAUCAACACUAAACGUCAUCAUUAAUGAUGUCAUCUUGAAGAACGGGCCAGUUUUUCAAGAUGACGUGCUUCCGUGCAUGUGUCCCUUUA